rnacentral:lncRNA from 1 species
AUGAUGCCCAAGCAGGACCUGAAGCCUAAAUUCCAGGAGGGCAAGCGAGUGCUGUGCUUUCAUGGGCCUCUUCUUUAUGAAGCAAAGUGUGUAAGGGUUGCCAUAAAGGACAAACAAGUGAAAUACUUCAUCCAUUACAGUGGUUGGAAUAAAAAUUGGGAUGAAUGGGUGCCAGAAAGCAGUGUACUCAAGUACAUGGACACCAAUUUGUAGAAACAGCGAGAACUUCAAAAGGCCAAUCAGGAACAAUAUGGUGAGGGCAAGAUGAGAUAGAUGGGCUGCUCCAGGGAAGAAGACAUCCGGUCUGCAACAGAAAAAUAUUGAAGUGAAAACAAAAAAACAACAAGCAGAAAACACCUGGAAAUGGAGAUGGUGGCAGUACCAGUGAGACACCUCAGCCUCCUAGGAAGAAGAGAGCCCGGGUAGAUCCUACCGUUGAAAAUGAAACCUUCAUGAACAGAGUUGAAGUUAAAGUGAUGAUUCCUGAAGAGCUGAAACCCUGGCUUGUGGAUGACUGGGACUUCAUCACCAGACAAAAGCAGCUUUUUUUAAAUCUUCCUGCCAAGAAGAAUGUGGAUUCCAUUUUGGAGGAUUAUGCAAAUUAUAAGAAGUCUUCAGGAAAUACUGAUAAUAAGGAGUAUGCUGUCCAUGAGGUUGUGGCAAGGAUGAAGGAGUAUUCAAUGUAAUGUUGGGCACUCAGCUACUCUACAAAUUUGAGAGACCACAGUAUGCUGAAAUUCUCACCGAUCACCCGGAUGCACCCAUGUCCCAGGUGUUUGGAGUGCCACAUUUGCUGAGAUUAUUUGUGCGAAUUGGAGCGAUGUUGGCCUAUACACCUCUAGAUGAGAAAAGCCUUACUUUUACUGAACUAUCUACAUGAUUUCCUCAAUUACCUGGCAAAGAAUUCUGCAACUUUGUUCAGUGCUAGGGCUCUUCGUGAUUACCAUUGAAAAGCCGUGUGA